UAUUUAAUUAAUAAUAAAUUUUAUUUAUUUUUAUAUUUAGUUUAAUAAUAAAUUAUUAAUUAAGAAGUUCUUUUAUGGUUGUUAUUAAAUUUUUAUAAAAAUUUAAUAGUACCUUUUGUAUCAGGGUGAAUUAAUUUUUUAAUAUAUUUUCUAUUCCCGAAAUUAAAAGUUCAAUUAAAUUUUUAUCUUACUUGUUUCAUAAAGUAGAUUAAUCUUUUAAUUGUAAAUAUAUUUUAUUCGAUUUUAAUUAUAUCUGGUUAUUUAGGAAUAAAUUAAAUUUUUUAAUUAUUAUUUUAAUUAAUAUUUAAUAAGGGAUAAUCUUUAUUAAUUAUUAUAAUUUAAUUUCAAUCAUUUUUAUUAGUUUUUAAAUUUUAAAUUUAGUUAUUAAUAUAUUUUUAUGUUUAAGUAUUGAUUUAUUUUAAUUUAAUUUUUUACUAAUUUCAUUUAAAAAAUUUAACAUUAAUUUUAAUUUUGAUUUAAUUAGUAAAAUUUUAAAUUAAUUUUUAAUGAAUUCGACAUAUUUAAUUUUCAACUGUUUAUCAAAAACAUUUCUUUUAGAUUUUAUUAAAAGUACAUUCUGCCCUAUGAAUAUUUAAAUGGCUGCAGUAUUUUAACUGUACAAAGGUAGCAUAAUAAUUAGUCUUUUAAUUGAGGACUGGAAUGAAAGAUUAAAUGAGAAAUUAAUUUUAUUAUUUAUAAUAUUUAAAUUUUAUAUUUAAGUAAAAAAGCUUAAUUUUUUUUUUGGGACGAAAAGACCCUAUAGAACUUUAUUAGACUUUGAAAUUUAAAUUUAAUUUUUAUAUUAAAUUUUAUAUUUUAAUUUUGUUGGGGUGAUAAUUAAAUUAAACUUUAAUUUUUAAAUUCAUUAAUUUAUGUAUAUUUUUGAAUAUUAAAUUUAUUAAAAGAAAAAGUUACCUUAGGGAUAACAGCGUAAUUUUUAUGGGGAGUUCAUAUCUAUAUAAAAGUUUGCGACCUCGAUGUUGAAUUAAGAUAAAUUAAAGAAGAAGAAUUUUUUAUAUUAAGUCUGUUCGACUUUUAAAUUCUUACAUGAUUUGAGUUCAAACCGGUGUGAGCCAGGUUGGUUUCUAUCUUAAAAUUUUUAAUUUAACUUAGUACGAAAGGACCAGUUAAUUUAUUUUUAAUAUUAAAUUU
rnacentral:rRNA from 1 species